rnacentral:rRNA from 1 species
GACGAACGCUGGCGGCGUGCUUAACACAUGCAAGUCGAACGAAGUGGCGAACGGGUGAGUAACGCGUAAUCAACCUGCCCUUCAGAGGGGGACAACAGUUGGAAACGACUGCUAAUACCGCAUACUGAAGGAGGGGAUUGCGUUUGAUUAGCUAGUUGGGGGGGUAACGGCCCACCAAGGCGAUGAUCAGUAGCCGGUUUGAGAGGAUGAACGGCCAAAUGUGGACUGAGACACGGCCCAGACCCCUUAGGGAGGGAGCAGUGGGGAAUCUUCCGCAAUGGAGGAAAGGCUGACGGAGCAACGCCGCGGGGGUGAUGACGGCCUUGGGGUUGUAAAGCUCUGUUAAUCGGGACGCGGUACCGGAAUAGAAAGCAACGGCUAACUACGUGCCAGCAGCCGCGGUAAUUC